AUUUUACUUUGAAACUGCGAAUGGCUCAUUAUAUCAGUUAUAGUUUAUUAGAAAUACUUUACUACUUGGAUAACCGUAGUAAUUCUAGGGCUAAUACAUGAVUAAAWCCUCAACUUCGGAAGAGGUGUGUUUAUUAGUAUGAAAACCAUAUAUCUUCGGAUAUAAUAGUGAGUAAUAAUAACCUUUCRUAUCGUAUGUCGUAAGAUAACGAUAGUUCUUUCAAGUUUCUGCCCUAUCAGCUUUCGAUGGUAGUAUAUGGGACUACCAUGGCAGUAACGGGUAACGAAGAAUUUGGGUUCGAUUUCGGAGAGGGAGCCUGAGAGAUGGCUACCACAUCCAAGGAAGGCAGCAGGCGCGUAAAUUACCCAAUCCUGACAUAGGGAGGUAGUGACAAUAAAUCACAAUGCGGAACU
rnacentral:rRNA from 1 species